GGGAGUUUGUUAUCGAUAAUAGCAGAAGUGCUAGUAUCUGUGUUAUGAAUAAUAUCUCCAAAGGACGUUGGUCGGAUGAAAUGGAGAAGGAUGACUUCUGCAACAACAUGGAUUAGUGUUUUUAGGUGUUUUUGCGAUUGAGUUUCUGUACGCUGAAGUAUUAGGCUUCAUACGUUUCUUUUGUUUUUUUCUUUCCUUUGAUGAGCUCCUUCUCGAGUCUCGGGCCCCUAGUUUGCGUCCUUGUGCUUUCACGGGUUUUUUCUUUUUCUUUUUAUAUAAAACUUCAAUUUAAUAAAAAUAAUAGAUUGUGUAUAUGGAAGAGAAAGAAAUAAUUUUUUUAUUAAAAAGCUGGGUUGAUGUAGAUUGUUGAUAAAGAUUAGCGCCAAAUUUAGCUCCAAGUUAGGUUAGUGUAGGUUGUUAAUUAAGCCUGAAAAAGACUGGUGUGGUCAUUAUCGCCAAAUUUAUCAU
rnacentral:lncRNA from 1 species